GAAACGACUGCUAAGACUGGAUAGGAAGAAAUAAGGCAUCUUAUUUCUUUUAAAAGACCUAGUAAUAGGUAUACUUUAGGAGGGGCUUGCGCCAUAUUAGUUAGUUGGUAGGGUAAUGGCCUACCAAGACGAUGAUGUGUAGCUGGACUGAGAGGUUGAACAGCCACAUUGGGACUGAGACACGGCCCAAACUCCUACGGGAGGCAGCAGUAAGGAAUUUUCGGCAAUGGAGGAAACUCUGACCGAGCAACGCCGCGUGAACGACGAAGUACUUUGGUAUGUAAAGUUCUUUUAUCAAGGAAGAAAAGCAAGUGGCGAACCAUUUGUUUGCCGGUACUUGAUGAAUAAGCCCCGGCUAAUUAUGUGCCAGCAGCCGCGGUAAGACAUAAGGGGCAAGUGUUAUCCGGAAUUAUUGGGCGUAAAGGGUGCGUGGGCGGUCUAGUAAGUCAGUGGUGUAAUGGCAACGCUCAACGUUGUCCGGCUAUUGAAACUGCUAAACUUGAGUUAGAUAGAGGCGAGUGGAAUUCCAUGUGUAGCGGUAAAAUGCGUAAAUAUAUGGAGGAACACCAGAGGCGUAGGCGGCUCGCUGGGUCUUAACUGACGCUGAGGCACGAAAGCGUGGGGAGCAAACAGGAUUAGAUACCCUGGUAGUCCACGCCGUAAACGAUGAGUACUAAGUGUCAGGUUAAACCGGUACUGAAGUUAACACAUUAAGUACUCCGCCUGAGUAGUACGUACGCAAGUAUGAAACUUAAAGGAAUUGACGGGACUCCGCACAAGCGGUGGAUCAUGUUGUUUAAUUCGAAGAUACCCGAAAAACCUUACCAGGUCUUGACAUGUUUUUGCGAAACGGUAGUAAUAUCGUAGAGGUUAUCAGAAACACAGGUGGUGCAUGGUCGUCGUCAGCUCGUGUCGUGAGAUGUUAGGUUAAGUCCUAAAACGAGCGAAACCCUUAUCGUUAGUUGCCAGCACGUUAUGGUGGGGACUUUAACGAGACUGCCAGUGAUAAACUGGAGGAAGGUGAGGAUCACGUCAAAUCAGCAUGCCCCUUAUGACCUGGGCUACAAACGUGAUACAAUGGCUGUUACAAAGGGUAGCUGAAACGUAAGUUCUUGGCCAAUCCCCAAAAACAGUCUCAGUCCGGAUUGAAGUCUGCAACUCGACUUCAUGAAGUUGGAAUCGCUAGUAAUCGCGAAUCAGCAUGUCGCGGUGAAUACGUUCUCGGGGUUUGUACACACCGCCCGUCAA
rnacentral:rRNA from 1 species